rnacentral:rRNA from 1 species
GACGAACGCUGGCGGCGUGCUUAACACAUGCAAGUCGAACGGAAAGGCCCUGCUUUUGUGGGGUGCUCGAGUGGCGAACGGGUGAGUAACACGUGAGUAACCUGCCCUUGACUUUGGGAUAACUUCAGGAAACUGGGGCUAAUACCGGAUAGGAGCUCCUGCUGCAUGGUGGGGGUUGGAAAGUUUCGGCGGUUGGGGAUGGACUCGCGGCUUAUCAGCUUGUUGGUGGGGUAGUGGCUUACCAAGGCUUUGACGGGUAGCCGGCCUGAGAGGGUGACCCGCCACAUUGGGACUGAGAUACGGCCCAGACUCCUACGGGAGGCAGCAGUGGGGAAUAUUGCACAAUGGGCGGAAGCCUGAUGAAGCAACGCCGCGUGCGGGAUGACGGCCUUCGGGUUGUAAACCGCUUUCGCCUGUGACGAAGCGUGAGUGACGGUAAUGGGUAAAGAAGCACCGGCUAACUACGUG